CAGCAGCCGCGGGAAUACGGGGGGGGCAAGUGUUAUUCGGAAUGACUGGGCGUAAAGGGCACGUAGGCGGUGAAAAGGGUGGAAAGUGAAAGUCGCCAAAACACUGGCGGGGUGCUUUCUUGACCAUUUCACUUGAGUGAGAUAGGGGAGAGUGGAAUUUCGUGUGGAGGGAUCAAAUCCUAAGAUAUACGAAGGAACGCCAACCGCGAAGGCAGCUCUCUGGGUCCCCACUGACGCUGGGGUGCGAAAGCAUGGGGAGCAAACAGGAUUAGAUACCCCGGUAGUCCCUGUCUCUUAUACA
rnacentral:rRNA from 1 species